AUGAGCUGGGCCCACUACGAGGCUUGCAGCAACGCGGAGUACGUGACGACCGCUAAGGCCGUGAUCACCAAAUUUUGGCAACUCUAUAGAGUUGUUGACGAGCACAACGCCAGAGCCGACGUGGUCUUGCUUGCGGCUGCGAAGAAGAAAGCUCGUCAGUUGCAGUACGAGGUGCGCUGGGUUGCCGUCUCGCAGUACUACCACUACUACCUGCACCAAAAGAUGACCAAAACUCAAGCGCAGAUGCUACGACUUACCUUGAGAAAGGAGCAGUUCAUGAUGGUUGUUCCUCGUUGGUGCUAUGGAAGGCAUGAUGGAUGGGCGAGUUUGGUGGAUAGGUGUCUCGGCGUCGAUGCAGAGUUUGCUGCAAGAGCAUCAAGGCCCGGGCUAACCGUGGAGACGACGGGACACACGGCCAAGGAAACAGGAACCACUGGGGCUUCAAGGCCAUGA
rnacentral:rRNA from 1 species